rnacentral:rRNA from 1 species
GAUGAACGCUGGCGGCGUGCUUAACACAUGCAAGUCGAACGGAAAGGCCCAAGCUUGCUUGGGUACUCGAGUGGCGAACGGGUGAGUAACACGUGGGUGAUCUGCCCUGCACUUCGGGAUAAGCCUGGGAAACUGGGUCUAAUACCGGAUAGGACCACAUUUUGGAUGGUGUGGUGGAAAGUUUUUCGGUGUGGGAUGAGCUCGCGGCCUAUCAGCUUGUUGGUGGGGUAAUGGCCUACCAAGGCGUCGACGGGUAGCCGGCCUGAGAGGGUGUACGGCCACAUUGGGACUGAGGGACGGCCCAGACUCCUACGGGAGGCAGCAGUGGGGAAUAUUGCACAAUGGGCGCAAGCCUGAUGCAGCGACGCCGCGUGGGGGAUGACGGCCUUCGGGUUGUAAACUCCUUUCGCUAGGGACGAAGCGUUAUGUGACGGUACCUGGAGAAGAAGCACCGGCUAACUACGUG